UGGCUCAGAACGAACGCUGGCGGCAGGCUUAACACAUGCAAGUCGAGCGCCCCGCAAGGGGAGCGGCAGACGGGUGAGUAACGCGUGGGAAUCUACCCUUUUCUACGGAAUAACGCAGGGAAACUUGUGCUAAUACCGUAUAAGCCCUUCGGGGGAAAGAUUUAUCGGGAAAGGAUGAGCCCGCGUUGGAUUAGCUAGUUGGUGGGGUAAAGGCCUACCAAGGCGACGAUCCAUAGCUGGUCUGAGAGGAUGAUCAGCCACAUUGGGACUGAGACACGGCCCAAACUCCUACGGGAGGCAGCAGUGGGGAAUAUUGGACAAUGGGCGCAAGCCUGAUCCAGCCAUGCCGCGUGAGUGAUGAAGGCCCUAGGGUUGUAAAGCUCU
rnacentral:rRNA from 1 species